GUGGGGAAUAUUGCACAAUGGGGGAAACCCUGAUGCAGCAACGCCACGUGUGGGAAGAAGCAUUUCGGUGUGUAAACCACUGUCAUGAGGGAAUAAGGCCCGCCUUCGGGCGGGAUUGAAUGUACCUUGAGAGGAAGCACCGGCAAACUUCGUGCCAGCAGCCGCGGUAAUACGAGGGGUGCAAGCGUUGUUCGGAAUUACUGGGCGUAAAGGGAGCGUAGGCGGAGAUUCAAGCGGAUUGUACAAUCCCGGGGCCCAACCCCGGUUCUGCAGUCCGAACUGGAUCUCUUGGAUAGUUCAGGGGCAGGCGGAAUUCCUGGUGUAGCGGUGGAAUGCGUAGAGAUCAGGAAGAACACCGAUGGCGAAGGCAGCCUGCUGGGGACUUAUCGACGCUGAGGCUCGAAAGUGCGGGUAGCAAACAGG
rnacentral:rRNA from 1 species